GACGGAUGGGGCUAGCGUUGUUCGGAAUUACUGGGCGUAAAGGGCGCGUAGGCGGCCAUUUAAGUUAGACGUGAAAGCCCUGGGCUUAACCUAGGAACUGCGUUUAAUACUGGAUGGCUAGAGUAUGGUAGAGGAAAGCGGAAUUCCUAGUGUAGAGGUGAAAUUCGUAGAUAUUAGGAAGAACACCAGAGGCGAAGGCGCUUUCUGGACCAUUACUGACGCUGAGGCGCGAAAGCGUGGGGAGCAAACAGG
rnacentral:rRNA from 1 species